UUAACCUGCAGAUGAACUAAACACCAAAGCUGAUACGCCAGUUCCAUAUUAAGGCAAAUGUGGACUAAAUGUAUUAAAGUUUUCAAAAGAUAGUUUAACUCAAAAGGCGGGAUAAGUUUAAAACUUAAAAACCCUUGUUUUCGGAUUGAUAGAUGCUAUUAAAAUCGGCAGAGAAACCAUACUGAAAUAGUAUUGCGGGUUGGUUCUAAAUUUCAAAUGGUAGCAUAUUUCGAUAGUGUUCAUUUUGAUUUCGAGAAUAUAAUUUAGCAAAUUAUCUUGAGAUAUUAUGUUGUAUUGUAGAGUUUUACAGAAGUUUCUGUUCUAAAGUGCGGAUAUGUUGGCUAUAAUUUUAACAGCAUUGGUCCUUCAAGAAAAGAUACAAUGGUCAUUUCAACAAGAUUUUAAAAGCAAUAUUAUCAAUGAUACGAGAUUUGGGGAUAUAAAGGAUGGCAAGAUAUAUUCGCCGAAUAGAAGAUAUCGAAGAGAAAGUGGAAAUUCCCUGCAACUCGAAACCGUAUCUACUGUAUGUGUAAAGUUGGAUGCGUGUUUAGAUGACUUAAAAACAGUUAUAACAGGCACAGACCUGCAACUAUUCGGAACAUCUUGCAUACCUAUAGUAAACCAACUGAUGUGUAUGCAUAAUGUCAUUGAGACGUCUGCAAUUUGCUUAGACUUAAGAUUCUAUUUUCAGGCAUCUUAUAAACUAGACAUGAUGUCUAUACAAUUAAAACUAUUCUGUAGAAAAUAUGAAGCAGUUGCUAACUGUACGGAAAUGAACCAGUGUACACAGCACAUCAAGUUUCCAUUGCGUACACCGUACCUUGCUGAACCACAAUACUGGUGUGCAUUGUUGAAAACGGCCAUAGCUUGUGUUGAAGCAUAUAAAAGUACCUGUGAUAAUUCUGGUUUGGAUUUGACAAAUAUGAAGUUCACAGUUGACACGCUUUGUCCUAACGCGGUUGAUGUGUCAGUUGUGGUUUAUGAAGGAAAUGGUUCAACGACAAAGAUGGCGUCGAUUGGUCUUUUGGCGAUGUCCUUAAUGUUACGUUUGGCAGUGUCUUAAGUUUGCUUUAAAAUCGGAAUAGGACCAAAACACUUUAUGUUGGAUUAAAUUAUAAAAUUAUUUUAUUACCUUAACAUUAAUAAUAUUUAUCAAUUUCGCUUAUUAUCUAGUUAUUGAACUGAGUCCCAUAAUCCUUCCAAAAAUAACCCCGUAUUUGUUCUAAAUCAGCAACCAAAUACUGUCCAAUUGACAUUAAGUUUAAUUAGUGUAUCUUUGCCGCCCGGUUUUAACCUUUUCCCCAAAACUAAGAGGGGGAUUGGAUGGCUGAAUAGUUAGCGUCCUCGCGCUGUAUCAUGAAGUCUGUCAUUGAGUCGACUGGCGUGGUUUCGAAUCCCCGGUUGUACGUGACAAGGAGUAGGGUCGCCUGUCUAACCUCGUGGGUUUUCUUCGGGUCCUCCGGUUUCCUCCCACUGCUAAAGACCCCUAUGCGCAAGCGAAUUAUUGAAAUAAAAUUAGAAAAUAUGUUAGUCCCGAAAUGACCUAGUUUGUGUCGAGUGGACGUUAAACCCCAUUUCUCUCUCUCUCUCUCUCUCUCUCUCAAAACUAAGUUCGACUAAAAGCUCUCUAACGCAGACGGGGCAACAUCUGUCAAGCGCCUACUAGUAAAAAUGCAACUCUCCGCCGUGAAUAGCACUUCAGAUCAACCCAAAACUAGCAGACCACGAUGGUCCAGUGAGUAAUUCGUGGAGAUACUAACAGUGCUGAGUGUCGGAGUGCCUCUCAAGGACAAGGAUAUCUAGUCGGAUAUGGGACGAAAUUCCGAGGUCUCGUGUGCAGUUGUCUCUUGUCCCUUCAUAGUUGGAAUUCUAAAUAAGAAAAAAGGACGUAGCGUCCCUCCACACAAACAUUUCAUAGCACACACAAAAUCAUACAACAUUUAUUAAAUAUUGUUACUUUCAAAUAAGAUAAUUAAAAACUUUCAAUGUUUUAUCACGUUAUUUAGUUUCUGGUGUAGAGCACGAUGCAUUAUACUUUUCUGAUAUUUACUGCAUUAUUGUAUUACAAUCUUAAAUAUAGUUUUUAUUUAUCUCAGCUAUAACACAUUUUGCAUUGAAAAUGUAAUAAAAUUGCUAUGCUUAACUACAAUUACAAUCAUUAUAUUACUUUUGACAAAAACUAAAGCGGUUUAGCACAAGCUUUGCACAAGCAAAAUCAUAUAAUUGUUUAUAUAUAUACAAUCAUAAGAUGUUUACGAGAUGCUUAGUUGCAUUGCUUUCAAAGUUUACGAAUAUAAUAAUAAGAUACUGGUGCCGAGCAUUAUGCAUGUUAUUUAUUUUAUAAUGUAUUUAAGGGUUUAUGAGGGGUGGGGUUUCGAUUCCCCGGUUGUACGCGACAAGGAGUAGGGUCGCCUGUCCAACCUCGUGGGUUUUCUCCGGGUCCCCUGGUUUCCUCCCAUUGCUAAAGACCCCUACGCGCAAGCGAAUUAUUGAAAUAAAAUUGAACCAUGCGCUAGUCCCGAAAUGACCUAGUUUGUGUUGAGUGGACGUUAAACCCCAUUUCUCUCUCUAUUUGAUGGUUUCACAUAGACGAUGUCGUGCAUUAUUGUAUUACAAUCAUAAAAUAUAUUUUAUCUCAGCUAUUACGUAUAUUUGCAUUUGUUUUGUAUUAAAAAUGUAACAAAAUC